CACCUCUUGUCUUACAAGACGCUCUACCUACAUCAUACAUAUUUAUGGCCCUGACAGCAACUGCAGUUGCAUGAUAUACUCAGUGUGUGCAGGAUGAAGGAUGAAGGGGUGAAGUUGGACCUGUACAACUUUGACCAGCCGCAGCAUCAGGAGUGUCCAUACAUCCUCACCAGCCCACGUUCACUGCAGGCCUGUAGGACGCUCUCCAUCAAGCCUGUGGACCUACUACAGAAGAGCCGAGAUGAAUAUGAUGCCGCCCACGCCAACCAGCCCCUACAACAACGCCUCGUCGCCUACCACACCCAGGAGCGUCUCAGACUCAGUAUGUGGCUGUGGUGGUGGACUAGUUGUACGACCAUGGUCAGUACAAAUUGUACUAACCAUGGUCGUACAUAGUGGUAGUGUGUUACUGUUGCUGUGUGUGUGUGUGUGUUAUAGAUUGAAAGAUUGCAUGAAGUUGUGUCAUAAAGUCCUUGUUGAUGUUAAAUGCAAUUGGUCACCUAGACAUUAACAUUCCUCCUCGCUCUCUGUCUUCCUCUCCCUCUGUGUUUUUUUUUCAAUUAUCUGUCUCCCAAUCUUCCUAUCUAUAUUUAUCUUUAUAAAUGUUUGUCUCUGCCUUUCUAUCUUUUCUUAUCCCGUUCUCUCUGCCUGCCUCCUGUCCCCACUUCUCCGCUCUCUUGCCAUCAUCUUUCAUUUUAUCUCUCACUAUGCCUCUUAUCUCCAUUUUUACCUCGUUUUUUCCCUCUUUCGACUUUUUUUAUCGUUGUCUCCCUCCCC